rnacentral:lncRNA from 1 species
CGCGUUUCUGUGGGGAAUGGAUGGGGGGUUGCACAAAGGAGUGAAAGGAACCUGGGUCUGUGGAUUGAGAAUUAAUGAAAUUAACGUAAUCCUUUCCAUUAAUGGGCUUUUUUGAAAGGCCCCAGAUUUAGGCUUGAUCUCUGCUGCACCGGCUAAUUGCCCGGGUUAAUCUCAUUAAUGCCACUGUGCAGAAGUGGUUAGCAGCUCCUCGUCUUGUCUAUUAUGCACCUACUUUACUCGUGUUAGUUCGCAUUAGUGGGUGUGAUUUCCUCCGUCUGAAGAUCAGAUUCAUUAUUUAUACCUCGAAUUGCUCGAGAAACACGUUAAAAAAAAAUAAAUUUCGGUAUGACCACGCAACUUUUCCCCUUCGAAGUGUUUCUGAACCACGGGGCGAACUUUACUCGGGGAACCAGAGGGGCACUGAGGAGUGCGCUGCUGUCAUUUGCGCUCUGUGCGCCGUGCAACAUCUACUGAGCAGGAGGUGGGAAUGUCAAUGACCGCUGCCAUCUCAUCCCUGAGCUGAAUACUUCGUCUGUCACGACUGUCACUGGGAAUCCACAGGAGGUGAACUCAAUCAGAUUAGACUAUUUACCCCAUCAACCCUCCACCGCAGAAGGUUUUGUUACUGCGUCUGAUACCGACCCAAACCGAAGACCUCCGUGUAGUAAAAGACGAGCAGGAACGUUAAGAAAAAAGAACCCCAGGACUCGAUUCUCACUUUAAUACAUCGCGAUGUGACUAAUAGUUACCAUCGUUCCUUUUCCUUCAAUUGUGUACCGAUCCAUUUCUUUGCGCCUUUGGUAUUUGGAGCUGACCUUCGUGCGAGUUUUACAAAUUCAGUGUGAAAUGGAAGAAUUGGAUGUGGACUGAGUUUUUUCUUUUUCUCUUUUUCUUUUCUCUGCUUCUUUUCCUUUUCUUCUUCUUGCUUCGUGUAUGUUCUGGGGUGGUUUUUGAUUUGCUGUUUUGGUUGGAUUUUGUGUGUGUGUGUGUUUGUGUGUGUGUGUGUUUGCUUUGAUGUUGGAUUUUGGGGGGUCAGUCGUUCCCUGCCUCCGGCCCUGUCCUGCGUGGUGCUUAAUUCCCCCCUCGCGAUGCUCACUCACGUCCCAGCGGCUCCGCAGCCACGCGCGACCGCACCUCCUUGCUGUCUCCGCAGCUCUCGGCGGUGCGGGGGCUCCGGGCGGCUCCGAGCCGGG